UCUAGAUUCUUGGUCAUUUAGAGGAAGUAAAAGUCGUAACAAGGUCUCCGUUGGUGAACCAGCGGAGGGAUCAUUACCGAGUUAUACAACUCAUCAACCCUGUGAACAUACCUAUAACGUUGCCUCGGCGGGAACAGACGGCCCCGUAACACGGGCCGCCCCCGCCAGAGGACCCCCUAACUCUGUUUCUAUAAUGUUUCUUCUGAGUAAACAAGCAAAUAAAUUAAAACUUUCAACAACGGAUCUCUUGGCUCUGGCAUCGAUGAAGAACGCAGCGAAAUGCGAUAAGUAAUGUGAAUUGCAGUAUUCAGUGAAUCAUCGAAUCUUUGAACGCACAUUGCGCCCGCCAGUAUUCUGGCGGGCAUGCCUGUUCGAGCGUCAUUACAACCCUCAGGCCCCCGGGCCUGGCGUUGGGGAUCGGCGGAAGCCCCCUGCGGGCACAACGCCGUCCCCCAAAUACAGUGGCGGUCCCGCCGCAGCUUCCAUUGCGUAGUAGCUAACACCUCGCAACUGGAGAGCGGCGCGGCCACGCCGUAAAACACCCAACUUCUGAAUGUUGACCUCGAAUCAGGUAGGAAUACCCGCUGAACUUAAGCAUAUCAAUAAGCGGAGGAA
rnacentral:rRNA from 1 species